rnacentral:lncRNA from 1 species
UGCAUUCUCCGCCGAUUGUUGUUCCUGUUGCUGCUGUUGAAGAUGGUAGCAGGGUACUUGCAUUGGGCACCUAGCUGCCGCCACUGCAUUCUCCCCCAUUGUUGCGAUUUGUUCUCCAUUGUGCUUUAGACGAAGGACGAUAAUUUCUAUGUAGAAGGUGGUCGAAAAGCAGGUCAAGGUGAAAAUAGGUGAUUUGGGCUAGAUAACAUGUUGAGUUGUGUUAAUCAUAUUGGAGAAAAUUUUGAUUUUAAUACGAAUAAAAUAUAUUCAUGUAAAUGUUAUUUAAGAGUAUAACUUUUUGGCACGUGCAUUGCACGUGUAUGCCAAUCAUGUAAUGUUUAUUUU